UAGUGCUGCAAUGUAAAACAUUGCAGUUUCAUGGAAACUGCAAUGUUUACAUUGCAGUUCUA
rnacentral:miRNA from 1 species